UGCUUUACACAUGCAGUCGAACGGUAACAGGUCUUCGGAUGCUGACGAGUGGCGAACGGGUGAGUAAUACAUCGGAACGUGCCUAGUAGUGGGGGAUAACUACUCGAAAGAGUAGCUAAUACCGCAUGAGAUCUACGGAUGAAAGCAGGGGACCUUCGGGCCUUGUGCUACUAGAGCGGCUGAUGGCAGAUUAGGUAGUUGGUGGGGUAAAGGCUUACCAAGCCUGCGAUCUGUAGCUGGUCUGAGAGGACGACCAGCCACACUGGGACUGAGACACGGCCCAGACUCCUACGGGAGGCAGCAGUGGGGAAUUUUGGACAAUGGGCGAAAGCCUGAUCCAGCAAUGCCGCGUGCAGGAUGAAGGCCCUCGGGUUGUAAACUGCUUUUGUACGGAACGAAAAGCCUGGGGCUAAUAUCCCCGGGUCAUGACGGUACCGUAAGAAUAAGCACCGGCUAACUACGUGCCAGCAGCCGCGGUAAUACGUAGGGUGCAAGCGUUAAUCGGAAUUACUGGGCGUAAAGCGUGCGCAGGCGGUUUUGUAAGACAGUGGUGAAAUCCCCGGGCUCAACCUGGGAACUGCCAUUGUGACUGCAAGGCUAGAGUGCGGCAGAGGGGGAUGGAAUUCCGCGUGUAGCAGUGAAAUGCGUAGAUAUGCGGAGGAACACCGAUGGCGAAGGCAAUCCCCUGGGCCUGCACUGACGCUCAUGCACGAAAGCGUGGGGAGCAAACAGG
rnacentral:rRNA from 1 species